UCAAAACCAAGCAAUCUACAAUAAACUAGUCUCUCUCUUUUCCAACCCCAUUGAGUAGUAAUACCUUUGUAGCUUGAAAUGUCUAGAGAUUACUCUUCUUCUUCUUCUUCUUCUUCUCAUUCUCAACCUCCUUUGCCAGUACACUUGUGUUUUUUCCUUGUAAUAUUGUUCAUGUUCAUAAGCUUCUCAUGGUACAUGAACUAUGAGUCCAUUUUUGAGGGCUUUUUUGAUCAAAUCAAACUAGCCCUCAUACUCUCACCUUUGCUACUUCUACUAGUAGUGCACCUGCUCUCCAACUUUGACACUAUCCGGUCUCCGUUUUUCGUGCCAUUACCGGAAAAAGACUCCCUUCAGAGGGCUGGUGGAACUCCUUGGGGUGUUGGGCUUCUUCUUGUGCUUCUCUUGUUUUUGCUCUCUUAUCAGUCCGACUUCCGCGAACGGUGGUUUCCACUUCUAAGCCGGUAAGAACAUGGCGGCGGCGGAUUAUUAAUGUAUUGAUAUAUGUAAUAUUUUAAUUUUAACCAUAAAUAUGUAUUUGUGUAUUUGCAAGGGUACUGAGGUUGUGAUUUAUAAUUGGAUGUUUUUUAAGACUUCGUUGUUCAUUGUAUUAUAAAGCAAAGAAACUAUGUCAAGUAUUUCAGAUUUGACCUUUUCAAAAAGUAAUAUCAGGUGUUCCGUUAGUUAAAUAGUUGUUGGCCAACUUUAAUUUCUUUUCCUUUUUUGUGCCUAGUUCUUGACCAUGUCAUUGUUUUAAUUUGAUUUGAGACUUUAUUGCUUGUUAUGGCCUACAAUUAUGACAAGGAUAAUGUUAGGAUCUAAUUUCGAGUCUCAAUUACGUUCUAUCAAAUUUAAAUAUUAUAAAUGUAUUGGUAUGUAAUACUCACUCUGUCCCUUAAUAUAGGACAUUUUAGAAUUUUUUAUUUGUUUUUAAUUAUUUAACGUUCAUUACAACAAAAC
rnacentral:lncRNA from 1 species